CUGGGCAAAGCCAGCCUAGGUGCAUUCAGCCUUCCGAUUCGCCCACCGCCACUUGGGGAAGUCCAUCUAUGUGCUUCUGGGCCUUUUGAACCUUGCCGUUGUCUGAAGGGCCAGCUUAGGUGCAACUGGCCCUCAAAAUAUCCUGCCGCCUUCUGGGGAAAGCCAGGUCAGGUCCAUUCAGCAUUGAGAUUCGCCCACCGCCACUUCAGGAAAUCCAGCUUAGGUGCAUCUGGCCCUCAGAGUCCCCCGCCGCCAUGCGGGGAAGGCAGACAUAAUGCGUCGGGCUGCUAGAGUCCCCUGCCGCCACUUGGGGAAAUCUAGCAUAGCUUCAGUGCACCUGGCCAUCAGUGUGCCACGCUGCCAUCUGGGGAAGGUCACCUUAGUUGCUUCUGGCUGCAAGAGUCCCUCGCCGCCACUUGGGGAAGUCCAGCUUCAGUGCACCCGGCCAUCAGAAUCCCACGCCGCCAUCUGGGGAAGGUGACCUUAGUUGCUUCUGGCUGCAAGAGUCCCUCGCCGCCACUUGGGGAUGUCCAGCUUCAGUGCACCUGGCCAUCAGUGUGCCACGCUGCCAUCUGGGGAAGGUCACCUUAGUUGCUUCUGGCUGCAAGAGUCCCUCGCCGCCACUUGGGGAAGUCCAGCUUCAGUGUACCCGGCCCUCAGUGUGCCACGCUGUCAU